CUACGGGUUGCUCCAGUGGGGAAUAUUGGACAAUGGGGGAAACCCUGAUCCAGCAAUGCCGCGUGUGUGAAGAAGGCCUGCGGGUUGUAAAGCACUUUCGGUUGGGAGGACUGCUUCUAGCACUAAUAUUGUUGGAAGUUGACGUUACCUUCAGAAGAAGCACCGGCUAACUCCGUGCCAGCAGCCGCGGUAAUAGCGGAGGGUGCAGGCGUUAAUCGGAAUUACUGGGCGUAAAGCGCGCGUAGGCGGCUAGAUCAGUCGGGUGUGAAAGCCCCGGGCCUAACCUGGGAACUGCAUCCGAUACUGUCUAGCAGGAGUACAGGAGAGGGGAGUGGAAUUCCACAUGUAGCGGUGAAAUGCGUAGAUAUGUGGAGGAACACCAAUGGCGAAGGCAGCUCUCUGGCCCGAUACCGACGCUGAGGUGCGAAAGCGUGGGGAGCAAACAGGAUUAGAUACCCUCGUAGUC
rnacentral:rRNA from 1 species